GUGGGGAAUCUUGCGCAAUGGGCGAAAGCCUGACGCAGCCAUGCCGCGUGAAUGAUGAAGGUCUUAGGAUUGUAAAAUUCUUUCACCGGGGACGAUAAUGACGGUACCCGGAGAAGAAGCCCCGGCUAACUUCGUGCCAGCAGCCGCGGUAAUACGAAGGGGGCUAGCGUUGCUCGGAAUUACUGGGCGUAAAGGGCGCGUAGGCGGACAGUUUAGUCAGAGGUGAAAUCCCGGGGCUCAACCCCGGAACUGCCUUUGAUACUGGGUGUCUGGAGUAUGGAAGAGGUAAGUGGAAUUCCGAGUGUAGAGGUGAAAUUCGUAGAUAUUCGGAGGAACACCAGUGGCGAAGGCGGCUUACUGGUCCAUUACUGACGCUGAGGUGCGAAAGCGUGGGGAGCAAACAGGAUUAGAAACCCUGGUAGUCC
rnacentral:rRNA from 1 species